GCAUCGAUGGAANNACGCAGCGAAAUGCGAUAACUAAUGUGAAUUGCAGAAUUCAGUGAAUCAUCGAGUCUUUGAACGCACAUUGCGCCCUCUGGUAUUCCGGAGGGCAUGCCUGUCCGAGCGUCAUU
rnacentral:rRNA from 1 species